rnacentral:lncRNA from 1 species
CAAGUGCCCUGCUACACUAAGAGGACUUGCGCGAGGCACUAUUUGUGUCGAGUGAUGUGUGAGCAUGCGUAUAGGGACACACGCCCAGGUGCCCACAAUGUCGAGGCAAGCGCCCCACUAGCAAGCUACUACUCAACAACCUCUGUGAGGCACGGGGACUGCCAGGCAUGCACACGCUAAGAGUGUCAUGGGCCAAGGCACCUUGUAUCGCUAGUGCGAGCUUAUGGGAUUUUAUUCCCCUACUGCGAGUUCAAGGAAAAAUUUCCCAAAAGCAUAAAAAAGAAUUGAUCUGU